rnacentral:rRNA from 1 species
CCUACGGGAGGCUGCAGUGGGGAAUAUUGGACAAUGGGCGAAAGCCUGAUCCAGCCAUGCCGCGUGUGUGAAGAAGGCCUUCGGGUUGUAAAGCACUUUCAGUGGGGAAGAAAGCCUUGGGGCUAAUACCCUCGAGGAAGGACAUCACCCACAGAAGAAGCACCGGCUAACUCCGUGCCAGCAGCCGCGGUAAUACGGAGGGUGCGAGCGUUAAUCGGAAUUACUGGGCGGAAAGCGCGCGUAGGCGGUCUGAUAAGCCGGUUGUGAAAGCCCCGGGCUCAACCUGGGAACGGCAUCCGGAACUGUCCGGCUAGAGUGCAGGAGAGGACGGUAGAAUUCCCGGUGUAGCGGUGAAAUGCGUAGAGAUCGGGAGGAAUACCAGUGGCGAAGGCGGUCUUCUGGACUGACACUGACGCUGAGGUGCGAAAGCGUGGGUAGCAAACAGGAUUAGAUACCCCAGUAGUC